UUUUUUUUUUUUUUUUUGCUAUCUUUUUAUUUACAGUAGAAGAAUGUGAGGGGAGGUUUAAGCGUAUGUGGCAUGCACAUGCGUAUGUUCAGAUGGAGGAUGGUUUUUGAAUGUUUUACCUUAUUCCUUUGAGACAGGAUCUCUCCCUAUGCAUGGAGCUCUAUUUUUUCUACUAGACUGACUGCCAGUCUAGUGGUCUUCCUGUGGAGAGCUCCAUUCCCUACAGCUCUGAGAUUAUGAGUACAUGCAAAACCUCACCUGGUUUGUUUUGAGGGAUCUGGAAUCUGAAUCCAGGUCCUCAUAGUCUUGGAAUUAACAUUUUCCCAAGAGCCCUAGACUCUUUCAGUGAAUACUACUUAGAGGCCAAGGUUUGGGUGCUAGAUAAGCUCAUUCUGUUUGUUGCUCUGACAUAGUGACUGUGUGUCAUAGCCCGCAAAGCUUUGUUGUAUUCCCUGGGGGCCUUAUCCUCUGAAAGCUCAUUGCUGCUGUAGACUGCUUUACUCAUAUUAGCUUUACCUAUUUUACAACUUUAAAAUGUUCAUCCUUGAGUGCUGGGGGUUGAACCUAGGGUCUCCACAAGCUAACUAUAUGCUUUACCACUAAAAUAUUGUCCAGUCCUAUUGCUAGAACUUUAUUUGAAUAGAAGUGAGGUCAGAUGUGGUGGCACACUUUGGAGGCAGAGGGCUACAUAAUGUCUCAAAAAUAAACAAGUAGAGGUUGUUAUUGCUGUUUAUGUAAUUCACUAUAGUGGUAGAUUUGUUUGUUUCUUCAUUUUCUUUCUUUUAAGAUUUCUGUAUUUUAUGGUAUGAGUGUUUUGCCUACAUAUAUGUGCAUUCCAUGUAUGUCUGGUGCCCUUGGUGGUCAGGAGAGUCAGACUGCCUGAAAUAAAUGGUUGUGAGCUACCAUGUGGGUGCUGGGAACUGAACCUAGAUCCUCUGCAUGAGCAGCGCAUGUUCUUAGCUACCGAGUCAUUUCUCCAGCCUUAUGUUAAUUUUUUAAUAAUUUGCAUUUAUUAUCGAGCUAAAUACUCUAGUCUAGACGUUAAAGAUUUGUGUCUUUUUUUUUAAAUUGACUUUUAAAAUUUAUUUUGUUUUUAGGAUGGGUUUUAUUCAUCGUAGGCUGGCCUCAGACUUGCUAUGUAAUAGCUCGGGAUGACCCUGAUCUUUCUCCACCUCUUGAGUGUUGGCAUUAUAGCAUGUCAGUUUCUGUGGUACUAGGACUCAAACCUUGGGCCUCACGCAUCUUAGGCAAGCAGUCUACUAACUGAGCAAUGUCCCCAUCCACAAAUUUAUAACUCUUUGUUAUAAAGUACUUUACCUCUCUUUCCAGUAAUAAAAACAUCUCUUCAUCUCUGUUCCCUCAUUAACUUCUAUUUAUUUAUUUAUUUAUUUAUUUAUUUAUUUAUUAUAUGUAAGUACACUGUAGCUGUCUUCAGACACUCCAGAAGAGGGAGUGUCAGAUCUUGUUACAGAUGGUUGUGAACCACCAUGUGGUUGCUGGGAUUUGAACUCUGGACCUUCGGAAGAGCAGUUGGGUGCUCUUACCCACUGAGCCAUCUCACCAGCCCGACAAUACUUAUUUUUGUUAACAUCAAAUUGUUAUACCUAUAUUCCAGAGACAGUGUAAUUGUAAGUUUUAUUUCUC
rnacentral:lncRNA from 1 species